rnacentral:tRNA from 1 species
GCCCGAAUAGCUCAGUCGGUAGAGCGCGUCCUUGGUAAGGACGAGGUCACCGGUUCGAUCCCGGUUUCGGGCUCCA